GGGGGGUGCAAGCGUUAUUCGGAAUCACUGGGCGUAAAGAGCGCGUAGGCGGUCUCUUAAGUCAGAUGUGAAAGCCCGGGGCUUAACCCCGGAAGUGCAUUUGAAACGGAGGGACUUGAGUAUGGGAGAGGGAAGUGGAAUUCCUGGUGUAGCGGUGAAACGCGUAGAUAUCAGGAGGAACACCGGUGGCGAUGGCGACUUCCUGGACCAAUACUGACGCUGAGGCGCGAAGGCGUGGGGAGCAAACAGGAUUAGAUACCCUGGUAGUCCACGCAGUAAACGUUGAACACUAGGUGUAGCGGGUAUUGACCCCCCUGCUGUGCCCGCAGCUAACGCAUUAAGUGUUCCGCCUGGGAAGUACGGCCGCAAGGCUA
rnacentral:rRNA from 1 species